GUUGAAGAACGUAGCGAAAUGCGAUAAGUAAUGCGAAUUGCAGAAUUCCAGUGAGUCAUCGAAUCUUUGAACGCACAUUGCGCCCUUUGGUAUUCCGAAGGGCAUGCCUGUUCGAGCGUCAUUAUCACCCCUCAAGCCCUCGGCUUGGUGUUGGAAGGUUUGGUGGAGGCCCCCUCGGGGGCUCCUGCCCCUCCCAAAGACAAUGACGGCGGCCUCGUUGGACCCCCGGUACACUGAGUUCUUCACGGGACACGUAUCGGACACAUGGGUUUACGGGACACGGUCUGCCUCCCCUCAGGGAGAAUCUUUCUAAGGUUGACCUCGGAUCAGGUAGGGAUACCCGCUGAACUUAAGCAUAUCAAUAAGCGGAGGA
rnacentral:misc_RNA from 1 species